GGUCAUGUGGUCUAGUGGUCAUGGCAUCUGCCCGGUAAGCGGAAGGUCGUGGGUUCGAUUCCCAUCCCUUGACACU
rnacentral:tRNA from 1 species